rnacentral:rRNA from 1 species
AGUGAACGCUGGCGGUAGGCCUAACACAUGCAAGUCGAACGGCAGCACAGUAAGAUCUUGCUCUUACGGGUGGCGAGUGGCGGAGGGGUGAGGAAUACAUCGGAAUCUACUUUUGCGUGGGGGAUAACGUAGGGAAACGUACGCUAAUACCGCAUACGACCUACGGGUGAAAGCAUGGGAUCUUCAGACCUUGCGCUAUUGAAUGAGCCGAUGUCGGAUUAGCUAGUUGGCGGGGUAAUGGCCCACCAAGGCGACGAUCCGUAGCUGGUCUGAGAGGAUGAUCAGCCACACUGGAACUGAGACACGGUCCAGACUCCUACGGGAGGCAGCAGUGGGGAAUAUUGGACAAUGGGCGCAAGCCUGAUCCAGCCAUACCGCGUGGGUGAAGAAGGCCUUCGGGUUGUAAAGCCCUUUUGUUGGGAAAGAAAAGCAGCAGGUUAAUACCCCGCUGUUCUGACGGUACCCAAAGAAUAAGCACCGGCUAACUUCGUG